rnacentral:rRNA from 1 species
UGAACGCUGGCGGCAUGCUUUACACAUGCAAGUCGAACGGCAGCGCGGGCAACCUGGCGGCGAGUGGACGAACGGGUGAGUAAUAUAUCGGAACGUACCCAAGAGUAGGGGGAUAACGUAGCGAAAGUUACGCUAAUACCGCAAUACGAUCUAAAGGAUGAAAGCAGGGGACCGCAAGGCCUUGUGCUCCUGGAGCGGCCGAUAUCUGAUUAGCUAGUUGGUGAGGUAAAGGCUCACCAAGGCGACGAUCAGUAGCUGGUCUGAGAGGACGACCAGCCACACUGGAAACUGAGACACGGUCCAGACUCCUACGGGAGGCAGACAGUGGGGAAUUUUGGACAAUGGGCGCAAAGCCUGAUCCAGCAAUGCCGCGUGAGUGAAGAAGGCCU